UUAUCAAAAACAUGUCUUUUUGAAUUUAAUUUAAAGUCUAACCUGCCCACUGAAAUUUUAAAUGGCCGCAGUAUUUUAACUGUGCAAAGGUAGCAUAAUCAUUAGUCUUUUAAUUGAAGGCUGGAAUGAAUGGUUGAAUGAAAUAUUAACUGUUUCAUAUUAAUUAAAAAUAGAAUUUUAUUUUUUAGUUAAAAAGCUAAAAUUUUUUUAAAAGACGAGAAGACCCUAUAAAUCUUUAUAUUUAAGUUUAUAAUUUUUAUAUGGAUAAUUAAAAUUUUUAUACAAUUAAAUAUUUUAUUGGGGUGAUAUUUAAAUUUAUAUAACUUUAAAUUUUUAAUAAACAUAAAUUAUUGAAUUGUUGAUCCAUAAAUUAUGAUUAAAAAAUUAAGUUACUUUAGGGAUAACAGCGUAAUUUUUUUAGAGAGUUCAUAUUAAUAAAAAAGUUUGCGACCUCGAUGUUGGAUUAAGAUAAAAUUUAGGUGAAGAAG
rnacentral:rRNA from 1 species